GCCUGGGUGGCUCAGUCGGUUGAGUGUCUGACUUUGGCUCAGGUCAUGAUCUCGCAGUCUGUGAGUUCGAGCCCCACGUCGGGCU
rnacentral:tRNA from 1 species